rnacentral:rRNA from 1 species
GACGAACGCUGGCGGCGUGCUUAACACAUGCAAGUCGAACGGAAAGGCCCUGCUUUUGUGGGGUGCUCGAGUGGCGAACGGGUGAGUAACACGUGAGUAACCUGCCCUUGACUUUGGGAUAACUUCAGGAAACUGGGGCUAAUACCGGAUAGGAGCUCCUGCUGCAUGGUGGGGGUUGGAAAGUUUCGGCGGUUGGGGAUGGACUCGCGGCUUAUCAGCUUGUUGGUGGGGUAGUGGCUUACCAAGGCUUUGACGGGUAGCCGGUCUGAGAGGGUGACCGGCCACAUUGGGACGGAGAUACGGCCCAGACUCCUACGGGAGGCAGCAGUGGGGAAUAUUGCACAAUGGGCGGAAGCCUGAUGCAGCAACGCCGCGUGCGGGAUGACGGCCUUCGGGUUGUAAACCGCUUUCGCCUGUGACGAAGCGUGAGUGACGGUAAUGGGUAAAGAAGCACCGGCUAACUACGU